UACAGAGGUCCCAAGCGUUGUUCGGAUUCAUUGGGCGUAAAGGGUGCGUAGGCGGCGCGGUAAGUCGGGUGUGAAAUCUUGGAGCUUAACUCCGAAACUGCAUUCGAUACUGCCGUGCUUGAGGACUGGAGAGGAGACUGGAAUUUACGGUGUAGCGGUGAAAUGCGUAGAUAUCGUAAGGAAGACCAGUGGCGAAGGCGGGUCUCUGGACAGUUCCUGACGCUGAGGCACGAAAGCUAGGGGAGCAAACAGG
rnacentral:rRNA from 1 species